rnacentral:tRNA from 1 species
GUGAAUAUAGUUUAUAAAAAUUCUAGUCUGUGAAACUAGAGAUGGGAAUUAACUUCUCCCUAUUCACC